rnacentral:rRNA from 1 species
GACGAACGCUGGCGGCGUGCCUAAUACAUGCAAGUAGGACGCAGUUGCGAACGGGUGAGUAACGCGUAGGUAACUACCUAUUAGAGGGGGAUAACUAUUGGAAACGAUAGCUAAUACCGCAUACUAGUAGAUGGACCUGCGUUGUAUUAGCUAGUAGGUAGGGUAAUGGCCUACCUAGGCAACGAUACAUAGCCGACCUGGGAGGGGUAUCGGCCACACUGGGAACGAGACACGGGCCAUACUCCUACGGGAGGCAGCAGUAGGGGAUGUUCGGGAAUUGGGGGAAUCCUGACCGAGCAGAGCCGCGUGAGUGACGAAGGUUUUCGGGUCUUAAAGCUUUGUUGUUAAGGAAGCGGUACUUAACCAGAAAGGGACGGCUAACUACGUGCCAGCAGCCGCGGUAAUAC